rnacentral:rRNA from 1 species
GACGAACGCUGGCGGCGUGCUUAACACAUGCAAGUCGAACGGAAAGGCCCUGCUUUUGUGGGGUGCUCGAGUGGCGAACGGGUGAGUAACACGUGAGUAACCUGCCCUUGACUUUGGGAUAACUUCAGGAAACUGGGGCUAAUACCGGAUAGGAGCUCCUGCUGCAUGGUGGGGGUUGGAAAGUUUCGGCGGUUGGGGAUGGACUCGCGGCUUAUCAGCUUGUUGGUGGGGUAGUGGCUUACCAAGGCUUUGACGGGUAGCCGGCCUGAGAGGGUGACCGGCCACAUUGGGACUGAGAUACCGCCCCGACUCCUACGGGAGGCAGCAGUGGGGAAUAUUGCACAAUGGGCGGAAGCCUGAUGCAGCAACGCCGCGUGCGGGAUGACGGCCUUCGGGUUGUAAACCGCUUUCGCCUGUGACGAAGCGUGAGUGACGGUAAUGGGUAAAGAAGCACCGGCUAACUACGUG